CAGCCAUUAUGGAAAUGCACACCUGUUCAGUUGGUUUUGGGACAGUCUUCAUUUCGAUUAGCGUUUCCUUUUCUUCGAAGCUGCUGCCUACCUUGCAGUUCACGUGGUCACAUGAUCGAGUUCUAGCCAACAGGGCAGAUGUCAACCAAACAGUUGAUAAGUGGAUGAAUGCAGAAACCCAAAUUGCAGCUAACAAACUUU